UACGAAGGGAGCUAGCGUUGUUCGGAAUCACUGGGCGUAAAGCGCACGUAGGCGGAUGUGUCAGUCAGGGGUGAAAUCCCGGAGCUCAACUUCGGAACUGCCUUUGAUACAGCACGUCUUGAGUCCGAUAGAGGUGGGUGGAACUGCGAGUGUAGAGGUGAAAUUCGUAGAUAUUCGCAAGAACACCAGUGGCGAAGGCGGCUCACUGGCCCGGUACUGACGCUGAGGUGCGAAAGCGUGGGGAGCAAACAGG
rnacentral:rRNA from 1 species